rnacentral:sRNA from 1 species
GCUGGGUGCAGUGGCGCACGCCUGUCAUCCCAGAGACUUGGGAGGCUGAGGCAGGAGGAUCUUAAGGCUGGGUAACAUAGGGAGAUGCUGUUUCAA